AGACCUGAAAUCAGUCGCGAUUACCCGCUGAAUUUAAGCAUAUAAAAAAAACAACAAUGAUUCCCCCAGUAGCGGCGAGUGAAGCGGGAAGAGCUCAAAGUGAAAUCGUGAGUCCCCUUUUGGCCUCGCGAAUUGUAGCCUCUAGGGGCGUGGCCAGUGGGAAGGCAAGUCUAAGUUUCUUGGAACAGAACUUCAGAGAGGGUGACAGUCCCGUCACUUGUCCUGCUUGUGAAUUUUCCCACGUACGGUGCGCUUUUAUUUAUUGAGUCGCGUUCAUUGGGAUUUGAGCGCAAAAUGUGUGAUAAGUUUCAAAUUAAAAAAGGAUACUGGCGUGAGACCGAUAGCGAACAACUGCUAUGAAGGAAAGAUGAAAAGGACUUCGGAAAGAGAGUUAAAAGUGUCUGAAAUUGCUGGAAGGGAAGCGAUUGAAACUUGUGUGUGUCGGGGGUGAUGGUCUGGUCCAGUGGUCACUUCCCCCGUAUCUCCGCUACAGGGUCUGGGGCUGUGUGUUACUGCUGUUGUCCAUAUUACGAUCCCCGGUUGCUGGUCGGCAUCAGUGGCUACCUGACUAUUCUCCCCAAGGAAGGUAGGUCCCUCGUGGCCUGUUAUAGCCUUUGGAUUUGUGUUGUUCAGGUUUCUGCUUAGGUGUGUUUUCCGCGUUCGAUGGCUCCACUUUCGAGUACUGUCGUUCUGCGAUGCUUUCCUUAACGGUUUCAACCGACCCGUCUUGAAAGACGGGCCAGGGAGUCUAACAUCUGUGCGAGUAUGCGGGUGGAAACCCCGUAUGCAUAACGGAAGUUAGAGUAGGGAGAGGUUUGCCUCCGGCAUUUUUCGCACCUACGACAGACCACGAACUCUGUGAGAGGUUUGAGUUGUAGCACACCUGUUAGGACCUGAAAUAUGGUGAACUAUGCCUGAGUAGGGUGAAGUCAGGUGAAAGCCUGACGGAAGCUCGUAGCGAUACUGACGUGCAUAUCGUUCGUCAAACUUGGGUAUAGGGUCGAAAGACUAAUCGAACUGUCUAGAAGCUGGUUUCUUCCCAAGUUUCUCUCAGGAUAGCUAGAGUUCAAUUAGCUUUAUCAGGUAAAGCGAAUGAUUAGAGGCCUCGGGGGCGGGUUGCCUUCGAGCUAUUCUCAAACUUUAAAUGGGUAAGGUCCAGUGGUUACUUCAUUGAACUGGUGGGGUUAAUAUGAACUCCAAGUGGGCCAUUUUUGGUGAGCAGAACUGGCGAUGAGGGACGCUCCUAAAGCUUGGUUAAGGUGCCUAAAUUCCCGCUCAUCAGACACAAUAAAAGGUGUUGGUUCAUUUUAACAGCAGGACGGCAAUCAUGAAAGUCGAAAUCCAAUAAGAAGUGUGUAACAACUUACCCGCCGAAUGAACCAGCCCUGAAUAUGGAUGGCGCUGCAGCGGGUUACCGAUACUAGUCCAUUGUCGCAAUAAGUAGGAAGAUGUGGGGAUCGUAGCGAAGCAUUUGGCGUGACCCUGUGCGGAACGGUCCCUAGUGCAGAUCUUGGUGGUAGUAGCAAAUAUUCAAAUGAGAACUUUGAAGACUGAAGUGGAGAAGGGUUCCAUGUGAACAUCGAUUGGAGAUGGGUUAACCGGUGCUAAGCGACAGCUUGACUGCGUGGGUUUCGGGGCUUUAUUGUCUCCGUAUUUCGAAAGGGAAUCAGGAUAAUAUUCCUGAGCCAGGACGUGGAUACUGUACGGUAACGUUAAUGAACUUUUCGAUGCAGGCGGGUGCCCCGACAAGCGUUGUCUUUGCUUCUUAACAGCCUUUAUAUAAACAUAACUUGGAAUCAGAUUAUCUGGAGAUAGGGUUGACUGGUUGGUAUAGCUUCCUGGCUUCCAGGGAGUCCGGUGC
rfam:Eimeria brunetti, Houghton, WGS project CBTX01000000 data, contig: Ebh_contig142_2